UACGUAGGGUGCAAGCGUUGUCCGGAAUUAUUGGGCGUAAAGAGCUCGUAGGCGGUCUGUCACGUCGGCUGUGAAAACCCGAGGCUCAACCUCGGGCCUGCAGUCGAUACGGGCAAACUAGAGUACUGCAGGGGAGACUGGAAUUCCUGGUGUAGCGGUGAAAUGCGCAGAUAUCAGGAGGAACACCGGUGGCGGAAGGCGGGUCUCUGGGCAGUAACUGACGCUGGAGGAGCGAAAGCGUCGGGGAGCGAACAGG
rnacentral:rRNA from 1 species